CCCCGGUGGAAAGCUGGAGCAGACGAGUCCGGUUUCACCGCCCUUGGUCAUGAACAUGCGCAGUAGGCACGCAGGGGGCGGGCCGAAGGAGCGGAAGGCAAUCUCAGGGGGGAUGCUGGGAAGUGUAGUCGAAGGUUGCUGGGACGCAGGCGCACUGUGUCACCCGAGGCUCGGAAUGCGCGCGUAGUUCCGUCCACCAUUGCAACCCUUCUCCGCCCUCUUGGCCUCGAUGCUUCUGCCGGUGUCUGUUUUCCCGCGCCCCCAGGGAAACGCCUUCGCAGGCGCAGCCACCCUUGAAGGGACGGUCAGCAAGGCCUCAGGCUGGGGCCCUGGAGGGUGACUUCCUGUGCGGACCCCUGAAGGCAGCAGGCCUGACCUCUGUCUACCUGAGGAAGCUCUGAGGCCAGAGGACCCAGUGGAGGACUUGGACCCUGAGACUGCAGGGGAGAUUGGCUGGCCCUAGUGAACCCCCACUGAGGACAGCUUAGCCCUGCUGGCCUGGAUGCUUGAGGAAGGAGCUCUGUCCUCUGAGGGGAUAGCCUGCACCCAGACUCCAGGCGAGGACUUAGGCAUGGCCCCCAUGGGAUCCCCAGUGGACACUUCCAAGGUGAGCUUCCUUCCUGAAACAUUGCCAGGUCUCAGGGCCCCCUCCUUGUGCCUGCAGUGGCCCUUGCUG
rnacentral:lncRNA from 1 species